AUCGCAUUCUACCUUUCCAGACCAGAAAAAGUACAAGUAUCAGGUCAUGGGGAAGGAGGAGAUACAUUUCAAAUUGCUUCACAAUGACGUGGCUGAGGCAGAUCGCAUAUUUGAUGACGUUCGUAAACGACCAAGGAAGUUCAUCUGCAUAAACGAUGACCUUGACCACACCCAAAGCACUGCUAAGCAAGUGCAAACAAAGUUGGUGAAAUUUUACCAAUCCAUGUUCCCGCGGCCGUCCCAGUUUGAGCUCCCCAAAGGCACGUCCAACAGGUUCCUGCACAUGGAUGAGCAUCUUUAAGGGAUUGG